UAAUGAUAAUAACGCAACAGUUGGUUUAUUAAUGGAUUAAAUAUCAAUGCAUCCCCAUUUACAUACAUAUAUGAAAGUGUGAUGAACAAAGUAAUACAAAAAGGCUUAGGGGUAAUAAUAGAUCAAUAUUUUGUUUACCUUAAUUAAUUAAUUAGUAAUAAAUCCCAGUAAUAUGACAUUUCUUUUCGAUGCACGUCAUAACUAUAAAAUGGGGAACUGGAAACAUCGUAUAACAAUCGGAUUCAGAAGCACAUUUUUCUGUAAUGUAAAAUAAUAAUAAAUAAAUGUUAAUAAAAAAAUGGGUGGAAAAUUGUGUAGAAGAUAAACAAAACAAAAAAGAAGAGAAUGAGCUUACUUUUACCGCUGACUACACCAAAAAUUAGAGAAACAAAAAAGAUCGCAAUAUAGACAAACUUGAGGAUUACUG
rnacentral:lncRNA from 1 species